rnacentral:lncRNA from 1 species
GGGGCCGGUCCUGGGGCGGGUGCUGCUGGAGACCCGCGCGCGGUCGUCAUUUCCUAACCCGCCUGCGGGCCCUGGCGCGUGCGCGGCGUCGGAGCAAGCUGCCCCUUCCUUCGGCCCCGCCCAGCCCCGCCGGCCGCCGGCUACCUGGGGAACCGAGGGAGGAAUGGGCGGGGUCCUCAGGGGUUUCACCAUGUUGGCCAAGCUGGUCUCAAACUCCUGACCUUAGGUGAUCCACCCGCCUUGGCCUCCCAACGUGCUGGGAUUACAGGCGUGAGCCACCACACCCAGCCUUGGUGGCCUCAUUUUUAGCAGCCUCUGCAAAGCACACAGCCUGAGUCCGUCACCUAGAGUCCCCAGCAUGCAGGAGAGAGGCUCUCAACCCAGGCUGGAGCCAUGAGCCACUCCCUGAGGGCACACAGGGCCUGAGUCUGGCUCCUGUGUGUUGCUGUGUGACAGUCCUUCCAAAGUGCCUACGGAAAGCUUUGUCCCAUCCUUGAAAAAUUGCUAAUGGGUUUGGAGAUACAAGGUGGAGAUGACUGGCAAUCAAACUCAAAGGUGGAAGUCACAUCGAGGCAGAUGAGCAGAUGAGGGGACCUAGAGAAGAAGAGAGGUGCAAGGAGAGCCCAGCCAGCAGGAACAUCUGCCCCAGUAGGCAGCACUGCCCCACAUCAGAGUCGAGGAAAGCAAAGAUCGGAUUGGAUAAAAGAAACCUGCAAACACGGUCAGUGCUUACUGCACGUGGGCUCAGAGCACGUUACCCUCCUUCCCUGCAUGUUCCUGUGAAACGGGUUUACUGCUCUAACUCUCAGGGACACUGUGAAGACCAAACGAGAAAAUAGAAACAAACAUAAUUUAUAAACCAUAAAGUACUGACACCAAAAGAGGGGCGAGCACAGCAUUGUGAAUGUGCUGAUACUAAAUGGUUUGUUUUAAGAUGAUUUUAUGGUGUGUGAAUUUCACUUGAAUAAAUUUUUUUAAUGGAGUUCAUGGGGACGCUGCAGGAUGUCAAUUAACUUUGGACAUUUUAGCAGCGCUUUAGGUGUUAAAAUUAUUUUUAAAAAAAUACACGAUGAAGAGAAAAGCUUCAUGACAUUGGAUUUGGCAGUGAUUCCUUGGAUAUGACCCCAAAAGCACAGAUAACAGAAGAAAAAAUAGUUAAAUUGUCUUCAUCAAAAUUAAAACUUUUGUACAUCAAAGAACUCUUUCAAAAGAGUGAAAAAGUCACAGAAUAAGAGAAAAUCAUGUACCUGAUAAAGAAUUAAUAUUCGGAGCCAGAUGCAGUGGCUCAUGCCUGU